rnacentral:rRNA from 1 species
GAUCAUGGCUCAGGACGAACGCUGGCGGCGUGCUUAACACAUGCAAGUCGAACGAAGAGCGAUGGAAGCUUGCUUCUAUCAAUCUUAGUGGCGAACGGGUGAGUAACGCGUAAUCAACCUGCCCUUCAGAGGGGGACAACGAGUUGGAAACGACUGCUAAUACCGCAUACGAUCCAAUCUCGGCAUCGGAGACUGGAUGAAAGGUGGCCUCUAUUUAUAACGCUAUC